ACCUAACCACUCACCUUCAUAUUAUACAUAGAGAUAUCAUCAGAGGACAGCAAAAGGAUGGUUGAGAACUGCUGCUGUCAGGUGAGCUGCAGGUGCCAAUGGCCAGAGUCAAUCACCUUACUACAGGUGAUUAACAUUCGUAAUCCCAUCCAAUUUACAACUGGCCAGCAUAAAACAGGACAGGCAUACCACCAGCAUAUGUACCCUAUUGAUGGAAAAGUUUCUGCUAAAUGAAAACCUAAUUAAAUGGCUACUCCUCAAGAAAAAAGCACAAUGUGUGUCAUGGUUUACUGAAGCAAAAUCAAACAUGCAGACUUAGCAAAACUACAGGAUUGAGUGUGGAAGACAUCCACCAUGCAGUUCAUGCAUAGAA